CGGCGGACGGGUGAGUAACGCGUGGACAACCUGCCCUAUGCAGGGGGAUAACAUCCGGAAACGGGUGCUAAUACCGCAUAAGCGCACAGUACCGCAUGGUACGGUGUGAAAAGCUGAGGCGGCAUAGGAUGGGUCCGCGUUGGAUUAGGCAGUUGGCGGGGUAACGCCCACCAAACCGACGAUCCAUAGCCGGCCUGAGAGGGUGGACGGCCANAUUGGGACUGAGACACGGCCCAGACUCCUACGGGAGGCAGCAG
rnacentral:rRNA from 1 species